UGGAGAAGAGCAAGACUUUUGAUCUAACAAGGAGCAAUACUGAAUGCUGCAUUUUUUCAAAGCAGAUCUUGCAUAUUUGAUGCCUGUUCUAUAGACCAUCUUUCUCUUACAGUGAUGUUGAAGAUUGGCUGAAACAUCUGACAGAGAACAUAGGACACCAUCCACUGACAUUUGGUGGUGUGAGCCAACUAUGGCAGAAAGCUGGAGACAGCAGUCCCCGUGCAGCUGAUGGAUCGUCAGACUCACUGAUCUAUCUGCAUGUGAGCAGCAUGCACAGUCCUGGGCUGUCGCUCCCCGAUCUGCAGCACAGAUGGGCACACGGGGUUGGAAUGUUGGGUGCAACUUGACAGCGGAGUUCAUCCUCCUGAGCACCAGCAGAUGGGGCGCAGCGGCGGUGGCUUUGUCUGCCUCGGAGCUGCAGGUUGUCGCUGAGGAAGGGAACUUCCUCCUUAAAGCCAAGCUAAAUAAGGAGUUUCUGGGCGGAGUCAUCUUCUGAGCAGCCGAGAUAAAAGCUUCUACAGGAUUUACGG
rnacentral:lncRNA from 1 species